AUUGAACGCUGGCGGCAUGCCUUACACAUGCCAGUCGAACGGUAACAGGUCUUCGGAUGCUGACGAGUGGCGAACGGGUGAGUAAUACAUCGGAACGUGCCCGAUCGUGGGGGAUAACGAGGCGAAAGCUUUGCUAAUACCGCAUACGAUCUACGGAUGAAAGCGGGGGAUCUUCGGACCUCGCGCGGACGGAGCGGCCGAUGGCAGAUUAGGUAGUUGGUGGGAUAAAAGCUUACCAAGCCGACGAUCUGUAGCUGGUCUGAGAGGAUGAUCAGCCACACUGGGACUGAGACGCGGCCCAGACUCCUACGGGAGGCAGCAGUGGGGAAUUUUGGACAAUGGGCGAAAGCCUGAUCCAGCCAUGCCGCGUGCAGGAUGAAGGCCUUUGGGUUGUAAACUGCUUUUGUACGGAACGAAAAGCCUCUUUCUAAUAAAGAGGGGUCAUGACGGUACCGUAAGAAUAGGCACCGGCUAACUACAUG
rnacentral:rRNA from 1 species